rnacentral:rRNA from 1 species
AGAGUUUGAUCCUGGCUCAGGAUGAACGCUAGCGGCAGGCCUAAUACAUGCAAGUCGAACGGUCAGUAGCAAUACUGAUAGUGGCGCACGGGUGCGUAACGCGUAACCAACCUACCCGAAUCUGGGGGAUAGCCCGCCGAAAGGCGGAUUAAUACCGCAUAAAACUGCAGAGCGGCAUCGUUUAACAGUUAAAGAUUUAUUGGAUUCGGAUGGGGUUGCGUGCCAUUAGCUAGUUGGGGAGGUAACGGCUCACCAAGGCGACGAUGGCUAGGGGAGCUGAGAGGCUGGUCCCCCACACGGGCACUGAGAUACGGGCCCGACUCCUACGGGAGGCAGCAGUAGGGAAUAUUGGGCAAUGGCCGAGAGGCUGACCCAGCCAUGCCGCGUGCAGGAUGAAGGCUUUCUGAGUCGUAAACUGCUUUUGCCAGGGAAGAAAAAAAGGGAUGCGUCCUUUACUGACGGUACCUGGUGAAUAAGCACCGGCUAACUCCGUGCCAGCAGCCGCGGUAAUACGGAGGGUGCAAGCGUUGUCCGGAUUUAUUGGGUUUAAAGGGUGCGUAGGCGGUUCUUUAAGUCUGGGGUGAAAGCCCGUUGCUCAACAACGGAACUGCCCUGGAAACUGGGGGACUUGAGUACAGACGAGGGUGGCGGAAUGGAUGCUGUAGCGGUGAAUGCAUAGAUAGCAUCCAGAACCCCGAUUGCGAAGGCAGCUGCCUAGACUGUAACUGACGCUGAGGCACGAAAGCGUGGGGAGCGAACAGGAUUAGAUACCCUGGUAGUCC